rnacentral:misc_RNA from 1 species
GAUGAAGAACGUAGCGAAAUGCGAUAAGUAAUGCGAAUUGCAGAUCUCCGUGAGUCAUUGAAUCUUUGAACGCACAUUGCGCCCUCGGGUAUUCCCGAGGGCAUGCCUGUCCGAGCGUCAUUAUCCAACCAUCAAGCUCGGCUUGCGGUUGAGCCCCGCACCGUCCCCGGGACGGUGGGCUCGAAACAUGUUGGGCGCCCGUGAGGUUGUCGGUGCAGCGAGCUCUCGAGCACGUGCCGGGCAACCGCUCUGGGCGUCGGCCAGCCCCCCCAUUUUCUCAGGUUGACCUCGGAUCAGGUAGGAAUACUCGCUGAACUUAAGCAUAUCAAUAAGCGGAGGA